CCUCCGGAGGCAGCAGUGGGGAAUAUUGGACAAUGGGGGCAACCCUGAUCCAGCCAUGCCGCGUGUGUGAAGAAGGCCCUCGGGUUGUAAAGCACUUUCAGUGAGGAAGAACGCCUGGUGGUUAAUACCCAUCAGGAAAGACAUCACUCACAGAAGAAGCACCGGCUAACUCCGUGCCAGCAGCCGCGGUAAUACGGAGGGUGCGAGCGUUAAUCGGAAUUACUGGGCGUAAAGCGCGCGUAGGUGGCUUGAUAAGCCGGUUGUGAAAGCCCCGGGCUCAACCUGGGAACGGCAUCCGGAACUGUCAAGCUAGAGUGCAGGAGAGGAAGGUAGAAUUCCCGGUGUAGCGGUGAAAUGCGUAGAGAUCGGGAGGAAUACCAGUGGCGAAGGCGGCCUUCUGGACUGACACUGACACUGAGGUGCGAAAGCGUGGGUAGCAAACAGGAUUAGAUACCCCAGUAGUC
rnacentral:rRNA from 1 species